rnacentral:snRNA from 1 species
AGCUUUGUGCAGUGGCAGUAUCAUAGCCAAUGAAGUUUAUCCGAGGAACGAAUAUUGCUAUUGAAACAAAUGGUAAAAAUGAUCUUGC